rnacentral:misc_RNA from 1 species
GCAAAAAGACCAAGAAAUUAAACCCAUUAAGGGCUGUCAAUAUCCAGUAGAAAUAAUCAAGUCUGCUUUUGUUAAGAUCAUUCCUUAGCCAUCCAUUUUCUUCUCCACCAGUUGUUCUUUCAACAAUCUUAACAAUUGCAGUACUUAACCAACUUCCAAUCCCAAUCUCAGAAAGAAACAAUGCGCUACUGAUACUUCUAGUCCCGUCAGUUGCUUCAUCGUAGAAAAAUUGCAGCUGCCCCACAUAGGUGAAAACUUCAGCUGCCCCUACUAAAAAGUAUUGUGGAAAUAACCAGAACACGCUCAUAUCGGAUGGGUUAGCGCUGUCGCGUCUCUUUUUCUCCACCAAAGCAGCAGAGGUCACGGCAAAGAUAGAAACAAAUAGGCCCACACCCAUGCGUUGCAAUGAUGUGAUGCCCCGACGGUGGCCGGUGUAUUUACGGAUGAUUGGGACGAUCAUUUUUUCAUAGAUGGGUACGAGAAUGAGGGCAUUGAUG